UGGGUCACAUUAAGACACUCCUGGUGUGUUAGAAGUACGCCCCCUACUUAUUUCACAUUUUUGAGAGUUUAUCCAAUCAGGUUCAAGAACCAACGUUUCAAAUUUGGCGGACUGGAUACGUCUGCAUUCGCGCUGACCAAUCACAGAACCAGCUUCGCCCCCCCAGACAAACCUGGACCCCUAAAUGUACCUGAAAUUUCGUUUCAGUCACUCCAGUCACAGACAAAAGAAGAAGUCACUCACUGCGCAGUCUACCAUAGGAGGUGGCGCUAAUGUACCUUUCAGUUGGUUGCCACCCGCCAUUUAAAAGACAAAAGAAGAAAAAGUCACUCAGGUCGAAGAAGCGCCCACUUGCUGCUUCCCCAAACGCUGACGCAUGCCAGUUACCGAAACGCGAGGAGGUUGCUUCUCAAACUGAAACGCGGCUACGUUGUAGAAGAGUAGAAGAGUGCUCACCUCAGGAGCAAAGAGUGGUGUCAAGGAAAACAGCUGCAUCCUCCAUCUGCACAGCAGCUGCACUGCUUCCGAUGUCUUCCAACACGUGAAGACAAAAAAGAUCCUCACAUCUCCCCAGCCAACUGCCCAUGACUGUACCUGUUCCACUCCAGGAACUAUGCUUUCAACAUAACUAUGAAUCCUACCCGUUCAUUUUGUGGUCUGCAAAUUGAACUGUGACGGUAACUUAUCCAGCAUUAUAGUGCUGGUGCAUUGGUUAAAAAUAAAGUUGGCUUUGACUAUU